rnacentral:lncRNA from 1 species
AUUUUUUACUACAGUUAUACUAUUCACAAAUGAAGCUGUUGAUAUAUUGUGAUAUUGGAUGAAUGUCAUCAGAAUUAUAGAUAGAUUAAUAUAUAGAGCUGCUGAAAAUCUUUAUACUGAAAGAUAUCCAUAGCACACUCAUCACUCAUGUAAUGUAUUCUAAUGUUUAGUGACUUAUAUGUGUAGAACUGAUCAGGUUCACCCAACUCAAAAUGGACAAAUCAAGUGUCCUCUAAGAGACAACAGAACAACUGAUGUCCUUGCUCCUCAUUCCUCAUUCUCAUUACUCUACCAGGAAAUUUUCAAUAGAUUUGAAUUUAGAUCAUGUGAUUGUGUGGAGAAUUCUAAACAGAUGCAGUUUGCAUCAUACCAUAUUCAUUUGUAAAGUAUUCUUUUGUACCAAUAACUUAUAGACAACAACUUUCAGAAUUGUGAUUUUUUUGCAGUUAGUUGCUGAAUAAAAUCUAUAACUUUUUUGUUGUCAAAUUCUCUGGACUGAUGAAGCUACAUUCAAAAGUAGUGGAGAGAUCAAUAUCUAUAAAAUGCAUUACUGGUCAUUCAAAAAUUCACAUUAGCUGAGAGAAAUUUGAUAAUCAACACACAGUAACCAACCAACCCUCAAUAGCUUACCACUUAGUAUUUUUCCAGAAUAGAAAGUGAUUUCAUCUGUUAAAAAAACCUUCAAUAGCUGAUAUGGCCUUAUUGGAUUUCAAGUCAUUGGGCUUUAUUUCUUCAAUGAACCUUUAAAAGGAGUGAGGUACUGAUUUUUUUUCUCACCUAUCCCUUGCAUGAACUCAUCUAGAAAAUGUUUUCCUCGUAAUAUGACUUGUAAUGUGACUGUAACAGGAUGGUUGUCUGACCCAUUACUCAUUCUUAGCUAGACCUACAGUGAAUUGACUUUUUUCUAAUUAAUAGAUUGGGAGAAGAGACCUAGGACAUGACCACUUUGGUCUCCUGAUUUGAUGCAAAUAGACGUUUUUUUGUAGGAAUGAGUAAAAGACAUAGCAUCCAACAAUAAGAGAUGAAAUGAAAUGGUAAAUUCGUCUGUCACUCAGUUACAAAUAAAUUCAGUCUUCUGAAUAUAGAUAGCAUACUAAAAUAAAAAAAGAGGUGUUUCAUAUAUCUUUUUGCUUAUCUUAGUAUACUGAAUCACCAUGUCAAAUACUUUGAACACCUCUUGCUCUAGAACAUAAUCCUAGGAGAUACCAUUUGUUUUUUUUUCUUCUUCUUAUUAACCAUAAAAGAUUAAAAUCCAACAUUUUUAACCAUAAGAGAUUAAAUGUAUGAGUAAUGGGUAUUUCUUUUCAAUAACUCCUCUGAUAACCAGUUCAGCCCAUGUUCCAAUAUGACGUUUCAUACUUGAUCUCAUUUAUCUCUACUUACAGUUUAUUCUGGGAUCUAAUAAUGUUACCAUUUGAUUCUUUGGAUACACUUUGAUUAGGCAAAUUUUAUUCUAAACUUUGUAGCAUAUUUCAUUUCCAAAAAAGGGGAGGUGAGAUAG